ensembl:lncRNA
CGGUGUUUUGUACGUUGUAGUUUCAAGUGAGCCUCGCUUUUCACGCUUUCUUCAUGUUUUCCAGUCGUGGGUGGAGCAGACUAAAGCCAUACAUAAGUGAGUGUUGCUUCUUCAGUGAAAUAAUGACUUAAGUAAACGUAAAAUAACCUUUUAAAAACAGCAGAAGCAGAAAUAUUACUCAGCUCCAUUUACCAUAUAUGUGCUCUCUAUUAGCGCCCUUUAACCCUGUUCCUCAAUGAUCAGGACCACCACAGAGCGGGUAUUCUUUGGGUGGUGGAUCGUUCUCAGCCCUGCAGGAACACUGACAUGGUGGUGGCAUAUUUGUGUGCGCUGCGCUGCGCUGGUCUGAGUGGACCAGACACAGCAGUGUUGCUGGAGUUUUUAAACACCUCAAUGUCUCGACUGAGAAUAGUCCACCAACCAAAAACAUCCAGCCAACAACAUUCCGUGGGCACUGUGUUUCCUGUGACUGCUGAUGAAGGACUGGAGGAUGACCAACACAAACUGUGCAGCAGCAGAUGAGCUAUCGUCUCUGACUUUACAUCUACAAGGUGAACCAACAAGGUAGGAGUGUCUAAUAUAGUGGACACUGAGUGGACACAGUGUUUAAAAGCUGUUUUAAAAAAUGUCUGAUCCACUUGUACCAGUGCAACACACACUAACAGACCACCGCCAUGUCAGUGUCACUGCAGUGCAACAAAUGAUCUACCACCCAAAUAAUAUCUGCUCUGUGGUGGUCCUGUGACCACUGAAGAACAUGGUAUAAGGGGGCUAACAAAGUAUGCAGAGAAACAGAUGGACUACAGUUUGUAAUUGAAGACCUACAAAGUGCUCCUGUAUGGUAAGCGGAGCUGAUAAAAUGGAUAAUGAAUGUAAAUACUAUCCACCUCCAUCUUUAGUAUUGCCCUUGAAAUAAUGAACAAGCCAUACAUUUGGUAUUCCUUUGAAGCUGAGCUGCAGAUGUCCACAAGGUCCAGCGAUGGCAUCCUCAACACAGAUGUCUCAUGAUUUCGCACCAGGGACAGACGUAAGGGAGACAGUGAAGGCUCGUCUGUUGGCAUCGCAGAAGCUCCUGGUAGUAUCUUUAUACAAUGUGGCCCCACUCCUGGACUGUGUCCUGGCUGCUAGUCUUCUGUCUCAGGAUAACUACCAUGAGAUAAAAGCUGAAAAGACCCCGCAAAACCGUGCCCGCAAACUGCUCGAGAUUGUCCAGGCUCAAAUGGACGAAAGUGAGGCCACUCGCUUUCUGGAGUGUCUGAGAGAAUGCAAGCAGCACUACCCACGUCUGCGCACCUGGCUGUCUGCUGAAACAGAGAUCCCAAGUGGACCUACAGAGCGGCAGUUACAGGCCCACUUUUAUUCUCUGUGUGGCCGUAUGAGCUCCUCUGUGCUGCCCAUCUCUCUGGCUCUCUUCUCCAGCAGCACCUUGACCCAGUUUGACCUUGAGCGGAUCCAGGCAGCACCCACCCCCACCCAGCAGACCCAAACCCUGCUGUCCAUCUGCCUGUCUAAAGGAGAGAACGCAUGCAAAAGCUUCUAUGAGGCUCUUUACAGUGAAGACCAGCAGUUAGCUGAGGAUAUGAAUGUUACUAGUUUGGAGAAGGAUCUACCAAGUCUGUCGCUUAACUGCGAUUCUGAGUCCAGCAGUGUUGCCAUAGCAGUGGAGGAGACCAGAGACACAGCAAGACACCUGCCUUACUCAGGAGUACUGCAGCAGGUCAAGGCUCAGCUGGGAGAAGCUGUGGGAGAUGAAGCCAGACUAAACGUGUGUGAGCUUGGGGUGGCAGUGGGGCUGCCACGCUGGACGGUCAGAGAGUGUCUUCUGGAGGGAGUCAGCAUAGAGGAUGCUUCUCAGCUGGAGGCUGUGGUGUCCCUCUUCAUGGACAAGACCCAGGAGGCUGAUCGGCUCAUGAGCAGAGUAGCAGAACUGGGCAUUCAAAGGCUGCAGCUCUCUGAGAGGGGCUGCUUGUCCCUGAAGUUGCUCCAGGAGGCUGAAGCUGUCCUCCGCAGUGGCAGCCACAGCCACCCACACACCUGGGACCACUUGCAUGAUCAAGAGCACCUGCAUGGCCCAGACCAGCUGCAUGUCGGGGACUGUGGCGAGCAGUGCAGGGUGUGGGCCAUCUUCAGCUUUCUACUGUGGGACUGCCUGGCCGAGGCUCUGGAGGAACCAGAGAUGAAGCCCAAUAGCUGGAGUAAAGGAGGAAGCCUAGCUGGAGUGCUGCAGCAUCUCCAGGGCUGCGAGAGGGUGGAGGCUGUUCUACUGAAGGAGCUAGAGCAGUGCUGGGAGGAGGGAGGAGGUGAGAACCUACUGCAAAGCAUCAGGCUUCUGGCUCAGAUUUUGAGGGACUUGCACCCUCUUCAGAACUACCUAAAACUUUCCGGACCUGUGGAUGGACUGUACACCUGUAGACUAAGCAGGAUCCACAGGGUCACCUCUUUCCAGGGCAUUUCUGCCAGAGUCAUCCGGAAAGCCCUGAACAGUGUCAUUCCUGCCUCAGUGCACCAAGAUUUGAUGCCACGAGCGCAACAAUACAGGGAUGUGUGUCUUAAGGUUGCACGAUUGCUGCAUACAGUACAGCCAGAAAGGGGCAUUAGUGACUUCACAGAUGCUCCCAUUGCUGAAGUCACCCAGCACAUUUGCCUUGUGCUUUCAAGGCCAGCUUUUAACUCUCAAGCCUUUGACGCUGGAAUUCGGCACCGCUUACUGGCUCUCAUAGAAUUUAAUCCUGCACAACUGGGCCUUGGCCCCCUGAUGCAGCUGCACCAGGAGACCCUGUCUGACCUUCUCCACUACCUUCAGCCAGGAGAGCACCACAGCUUCUGGUUUGACGUACAAUCCGUUCGAGUGCUCGGGCAGCCGCGGCUGCUUUCAGUCAGCAGCACCAGGGGGCUGGUUGCCAUUGACAAUGGGGUGGAGGAGAACUUUCGUUUCAUAACGUCUGAGGCAACUUCCUUCCUGGUGCGGCUCCGCUGCCUUGGCUACGAGGAGGCCAAAGGACACUUCUUGGUUAGCGAGCCACACUGCUUCUCCGCCUCACAGCUGGGGGAGGAAAGCCAAUGUGCCAUUCGCUGGCUAGGGGGGCAGAUUUUGGCAGAGAAAGAAAAUAAAAUGUGGAUGAGAGAAGGAGGAAGUGGAUGGAGGGAGGAACUGCAGACUGUGGCACAGAGACAUUCUGUCCAGCUCUUUGACGAGGGCUGCCUCUUCAAGGUCACAACCUUUGAGAUAGAGUGUGAGGUCAAGUUCAUCUACAGGUGUGGGAGGCUGUGGGCUAAAGCACAGAAAGGCUGUGAGGUGCUUUGA